CCGGAGUGGGCCUCUCAAAGGGAAAAUAAGCAUUUCAACAGCAGCUGGACAAAUGGACUAUUGAGACAGCUCAUCUUGUGGAGGGUUUCCACCUGUGAUUAAUGUUAACCAGGUGAAAAGCGCCAGCGAGAGAAAGUUACAGAAAACAGUCUGAGUGAUGACAGCAGAUGACAUCACAUAGAGUCUGACUGAAACACACAC